CCUACGGGAGGCAGCAGUGGGGAAUAUUGGACAAUGGGGGGAACCCUGAUCCAGCCAUGCCGCGUGUGUGAAGAAGGCCCUCGGGUUGUAAAGCACUUUCAGUGAGGAAGAACGCCUGGUGGUUAAUACCCAUCAGGAAAGACAUCACUCACAGAAGAAGCACCGGCUAACUCCGUGCCAGCAGCCGCGGUAAUACGGAGGGUCCGAGCGUUAAUCGGAAUUACUGGGCGUAAAGCGCGCGUAGGUGGCUUGAUAAGCCGGUUGUGAAAGCCCCGGGCUCAACCUGGGAACGGCAUCCGGAACUGUCAAGCUAGAGUGCAGGAGAGGAAGGUAGAAUUCCCGGUGUAGCGGUGAAAUGCGUAGAGAUCGGGAGGAAUACCAGUGGCGAAGGCGGCCUUCUGGACUGACACUGACACUGAGGUGCGAAAGCGUGGGUAGCAAACAGGAUUAGAUACCCUAGUAGUC
rnacentral:rRNA from 1 species